CAGUCCCAUGUCCUUCAGGAUGGGGCUUUCAGGGAAAGUUAGCCGUCCCUACAGCAGCUGGCAUCCUGAGCAUGCAGGAGUCAUCCUGUGGAGAUGCCUUCAGGUCUGGGCCUUCUCUGCCGAAACCAGCUCUGAUGUUUCUUGGGAGGCGCCAACAAGCUGACUGCUCCAAAUUCAGCGUAAACCAAGUUACGCCAUUUCUUAAUCUACGGAGACCUGGAAAAAGAGCAGGGCUGAGAUCUUCUGUGAAGAGAAGCCAAAGGGCAAAACAGUGCCUGUGAAAUCUGUCAACGUGGUGCACACAAGGCUGUGGGCAGUGCAAUCCCCCUGGAAGGAAAAGCCAACAUAAAUUCCGUAUUUUAUGGCUAAAAUGGCCUCUAUUUGCAGUUCUGCCCCCAUGACCAUGGUUUGAACGACUGCUUUCUCUGAUUCAAGAACAACUGCUUUGUGUAAGCAAAAUGAACCCGUUUUCACUGUGAUCCUUCACAGUCCCUCACACUUGUGCUGGAUGAGCUUGCACCAGAAAAAAACGAUAUUAAUAAGGAUAAGGAUAAGAAUAAAGAAGAGUCUCACAGUGAAUCCUGUGUGGGCUGCCUGCUGAGCCCCAUCUUGCCUGUCUCAUUGUGCUGGCAGGAGGCCACCACCAAGGGCAGGAACAGCAGAGCCUCCGGGCCAAGGCUGGGCUCUGCCAGUGGGGUUGGUGGGUGUCAGCCCUCAGCGGUGGGCUGGCAUGGGCAGGACCCUGGCCGAGGGUGUGAGCCGUGGCAUAGGAGCGUGCCCUGGUGUAGCUCUGGGUGGCAACGCUUCUGUGGGGUUCACACCACACCACACCAACCAUAGAAGUUGUUUUGAGCUUCAUAGUUAGAAGAAUAGCGUCAAUGUGGGUUUGGUGGUUCACAGCAAGCACCUGGAGAA